rnacentral:rRNA from 1 species
CCUACGGGAGGCAGCAGUGAGGAAUAUUGGUCAAUGGACGCGAGUCUGAACCAGCCAAGUAGCGUGAAGGAUGACUGCCCUAUGGGUUGUAAACUUCUUUUAUAUGGGAAUAAAAUGUUCCACGUGUGGGCUUUUGUAUGUACCAUAUGAAUAAGGAUCGGCUAACUCCGUGCCAGCAGCCGCGGUAAUACGGAGGAUCCGAGCGUUAUCCGGAUUUAUUGGGUUUAAAGGGAGCGUAGGUGGAUUGUUAAGUCAGUUGUGAAAGUUUGCGGCUCAACCGUAAAAUUGCAGUUGAAACUGGCAGUCUUGAGUACAGUAGAGGUGGGCGGAAUUCGGGGUGUAGCGGUGAAAUGCUUAGAUAUCACGAAGAACUCCGAUUGCGAAGGCAGCUCACUGGACUGCAACUGACACUGAGGCUCGAAAGUGUGGGUAUCAAACAGGAUUAGAUACCCCAGUAGUC